UACGUAGGAGGCAAGCGUUGUCCGGAAUCACUGGGCGUAAAGCGCGUGUAGGCGGAUCGCUAAGUCUGUGGUGAAAGCGCCUGGCUUAACCGGCGAGGUCCAUGGAAACUAGCGGUCUGGAGGCCGGUAGAGGGGGGUGGAAUUCCGGGUGUAGUGGUGAAAUGCGUAGAGAUCCGGAGGAACACCAGUGGCGAAGGCGGCCCCCUGGGCCGCGCCUGACGCUGAGACGCGAAAGCGCGGGGAGCGAACGGG
rnacentral:rRNA from 1 species